rnacentral:rRNA from 1 species
GACGAACGCUGGCGGCGUGCUUAACACAUGCAAGUCGAACGGAAAGGCCCUGCUUUUGUGGGGUGCUCGAGUGGCGAACGGGUGAGUAACACGUGAGUAACCUGCCCUUGACUUUGGGAUAACUUCAGGAAACUGGGGCUAAUACCGGAUAGGAGCUCCUGCUGCAUGGUGGGGGUUGGAAAGUUUCGGCGGUUGGGGAUGGACUCGCGGCUUAUCAGCUUGUUGGUGGGGUAGUGGCUUACCAAGGCUUUGACGGGUAGCCGGCCUGAGAGGGUGACCGGCCACAUUGGGACUGAGAUACGGCCCAGACUCCUACGGGAGGCAGGAGUGGGGAAUAUUGCGCAAUGGGCGGAAGCCUGAUGCAGCAACGCCGCGUGCGGGAUGACGGCCUUCGGGUUGUAAACCGCUUUCGCCUGUGACGAAGCGUGAGUGACGGUAAUGGGUAAAGAAGCACCGGCUAACUACGUG